rnacentral:misc_RNA from 1 species
GCUCAGGGUGUCGAGGUUGUCGUGCACUGUUCGAGUUCAGCUGGUGGUGGCAGUUUUCUGUUGCUGCUGGUGCACUCUCUUAUGGUGUUUGACCGUCAGUUGGGAAGAGAUGGAGGUCUGUGCUGUCAGCAGUCGGGAGGUACGCCCUGUGCUUCCGUCAGGUGUACAGGGUGACGUACAGCCGUUCUGUUGUGGUCUCUGUCGUCUUUCAGGUGCGUUUGGAUGUCUGUUCGUCCAGAAAUGGAAGGUGCAGUCUCCCGAUGUGGGGGAUCGGGCCACCUGCUUGGUUGCUGUGCGUUGUAUCGCCGUGUUCCGUUCUCUCUCCGUUCUGUCUCUGGCAGUCGGGGCAGAGUGCGGCACGUCGUGCAAUCGUCACUGUCCCUUGCUAGUGUGUCUUGGAAU